rnacentral:rRNA from 1 species
AGAGUUUGAUCCUGGCUCAGAUUGAACGCUGGCGGCAUGCCUUACACAUGCAAGUCGAACGGCAGCGCGGGGCAACCUGGCGGCGAGUGGCGAACGGGUGAGUAAUAUAUCGGAACGUACCCUGGAGUGGGGGAUAACGUAGCGAAAGUUACGCUAAUACCGCAUACGAUCUAAGGAUGAAAGUGGGGGAUUCGCAAGAACCUCAUGCUCCUGGAGCGGCCGAUAUCUGAUUAGCUAGUUGGUGGGGUAAAGGCCUACCAAGGCAUCGAUCAGUAGCUGGUCUGAGAGGACGACCAGCCACACUGGAACUGAGACACGGUCCAGACUCCUACGGGAGGCAGCAGUGGGGAAUUUUGGACAAUGGGCGAAAGCCUGAUCCAGCAAUGCCGCGUGAGUGAAGAAGGCCUUCGGGUUGUAAAGCUCUUUUGUCAGGGAAGAAACGGUGAGGGCUAAUAUCCCUUGCUAAUGACGGUACCUGAAGAAUAAGCACCGGCUAACUACGUGCCAGCAGCCGCGGUAAUACGUAGGGUGCAAGCGUUAAUCGGAAUUACUGGGCGUAAAGCGUGCGCAGGCGGUUUUGUAAGUCUGUCGUGAAAUCCCCGGGCUCAACCUGGGAAUUGCGAUGGAGACUGCAAGGCUAGAAUCUGGCAGAGGGGGGUAGAAUUCCACGUGUAGCAGUGAAAUGCGUAGAGAUGUGGAGGAACACCGAUGGCGAAGGCAGCCCCCUGGGUCAAGAUUGACGCUCAUGCACGAAAGCGUGGGGAGCAAACAGGAUUAGAUACCCUGGUAGUCCACGCCCUAAACGAUGUCUACUAGUUGUCGGGUUUUAAUUAACUUGGUAACGCAGCUAACGCGUGAAGUAGACCGCCUGGGGAGUACAGUCGCAAGAUUAAAACUCAAAGGAAUUGACGG